CUUGGUCAUUUAGAGGAAGUAAAGUCGUAGCAAGGUUUCCGUAGGUGAACCUGCGGAAGGAUCAUUACAAAUCCACGUCUCUUCGAGACCACGUUGAACUGUUCCCAGAGGGGCUCGCCUCUCUGGUUGUUAAACUAGUGAUUCUGUUGCUCAAAUGUAUGCCUUUGACCAUUUGGUUAAAGAAAAAACUUGUACAACUUAUAACAAUGGAUCUCUAGGCUCUUGCAUCGAUGAAGAACGCAGCCAAACGCGAAAUGUGUUAUGACUUGCAAUCUUCGCGAAUCAUUUAAUCUUUGAACGCAACUUGCACCCUCGGGCUUGACCCUUGGGUAUACUUGUUUGAGUAUCGUCUAUGCGCUCACGCCAGAUCUCGCAAGAGGUCCAGUGUGGAUAUGGGACGUAGCACCAUCGGUGCUUGUCUUUAAAUGCAUGCACUUGCUUUGACAGUGUCAGGUCUUGCCUGGAUGCCUCGUGCAUCUGGGAGCCAACUUGGGAUAACGUCCAUCAAGCUGGCUACUUGCGCUGUCGAACUUGGCAGUCUCUGACUGCGCAAGCGCAACAGAACGACCGUCGGGCUCCGGCCUUGGCGAUCACAUCUUGACGUACCGAUCUCAAAUCAAGUAAGGUUACCCGCUGAACUUAAGCAUAUCAAUAAGCGGAGGA
rnacentral:rRNA from 1 species